rnacentral:rRNA from 1 species
GGGUGACUGCGUACCUUUUGUAUAAUGGGUCAGCGACUUAUAUUCUGUAGCAAGGUUAACCGAAUAGGGGAGCCGAAGGGAAACCGAGUCUUAACUGGGCGUUAAGUUGCAGGGUAUAGACCCGAAACCCGGUGAUCUAGCCAUGGGCAGGUUGAAGGUUGGGUAACACUAACUGGAGGACCGAACCGACUAAUGUUGAAAAAUUAGCGGAUGACUUGUGGCUGGGGGUGAAAGGCCAAUCAAACCGGGAGAUAGCUGGUUCUCCCCGAAAGCUAUUUAGGUAGCGCCUCGUGAAUUCAUCUCCGGGGGUAGAGCACUGUUUCGGCAAGGGGGUCAUCCCGACUUACCAACCCGAUGCAAACUGCGAAUACCGGAGAAUGUUAUCACGGGAGACACACGGCGGGUGCUAACGUCCGUCGUGAAGAGGGAAACAACCCAGACCGCCAGCUAAGGUCCCAAAGUCAUGGUUAAGUGGGAAACGAUGUGGGAAGGCCCAGACAGCCAGGAUGUUGGCUUAGAAGCAGCCAUCAUUUAAAGAAAGCGUAAUAGCUCACUGGUCGAGUCGGCCUGCGCGGAAGAUGUAACGGGGCUAAACCAUGCACCGAAGCUGCGGCAGCGACACUAUGUGUUGUUGGGUAGGGGAGCGUUCUGUAAGCCUGUGAAGGUGGCCUGUGAGGGUUGCUGGAGGUAUCAGAAGUGCGAAUGCUGACAUAAGUAACGAUAAAGCGGGUGAAAAGCCCGCUCGCCGGAAGACCAAGGGUUCCUGUCCAACGUUAAUCGGGGCAGGGUGAGUCGACCCCUAAGGCGAGGCCGAAAGGCGUAGUCGAUGGGAAACAGGUUAAUAUUCCUGUACUUGGUGUUACUGCGAAGGGGGGACGGAGAAGGCUAUGUUGGCCGGGCGACGGUUGUCCCGGUUUAAGCGUGUAGGCUGGUUUUCCAGGCAAAUCCGGAAAACCAAGGCUGAGGCGUGAUGACGAGGCACUACGGUGCUGAAGUGACAAAUGCCCUGCUUCCAGGAAAAGCCUCUAAGCAUCAGGUAACAUCAAAUCGUACCCCAAACCGACACAGGUGGUCAGGUAGAGAAUACCAAGGCGCUUGAGAGAACUCGGGUGAAGGAACUAGGCAAAAUGGUGCCGUAACUUCGGGAGAAGGCACGCUGAUAUGUAGGUGAAGCGACUUGCUCGUGGAGCUGAAAUCAGUCGAAGAUACCAGCUGGCUGCAACUGUUUAUUAAAAACACAGCACUGUGCAAACACGAAAGUGGACGUAUACGGUGUGACGCCUGCCCGGUGCCGGAAGGUUAAUUGAUGGGGUUAGCGGUAACGCGAAGCUCUUGAUCGAAGCCCCGGUAAACGGCGGCCGUAACUAUAACGGUCCUAAGGUAGCGAAAUUCCUUGUCGGGU